GCUGGAUUUUCCAUUUCAAGGUGCUGCUCUCCAAAUUCUGAGUGAUACGAGUCAUAACACUUGCAAACUUCUCACAGACACCUUGGAAAGACUCAGCCAACAUCUGAAGAGAGAGGAAAGGAUGAAAAGAGCUUGGUCGCCCUUUGCAGAGCCUGGCACAGCAUCGAGAGGGGCUUUUCUCCCUGGGAGCAAUACAUCUCUGCUGCUGUCACAUGGUCGGUGUUCCUGGUGGCUGUGGAGCAGGAUGAAAAAGCAUCAAAGCAGGUGUUGUUGAGCAGAGCUAUAGCCAAGAAGCCUCUGAAAUCCAUGGGAUGCUUCCUACAACCCUUAGCCUCUGACUGCAGCAGCUGGGAAUAUAUCUCCAGGGAAAAGCUGUCUUUAAUACCUGUUGAAGGAGUUUUCUGCUUGACUGCCUGCUGAGGCUUUCCCCAUCUCUCAGAGAGGAUUCCUGGCUCUGGCAGGCUGGAGAGUUGCCUUUAUGGGCAUCCUGAAGACUUGGGCCUGAAAGGAAACCCAUCUCCCACUAGCAGAAGAUUGGAUACACCUCAUCAUCACUUGUGCAUAUUUUUGCCUGCCACGCAAUUGCAGGAAAAUAGGAGAGAGAGGCUGCAAAUACCACCGGCAGUUUAAUUACCACCGCUGGUCCACGUUGAUUUUAUUUGUGCUGCUCCCAGUGCCGAGUGUGAGUGCAAGGUGGGAUGCACAGGGCACCAUGGAUGGCUUGAGGCUUGAGGGAGGGAGCUGAGGUGAGUGUGUGUGUUUAUUUGGGGGUGUGGAGCCGUUCCAAAGAGUCCUGAGGUACGGGGCGGCCGCACAUCGCUGGUGUGGGUUGGGAAGGAUCCGUGUGAAGCCGAACACGGGUGUAGCGCUGAGACCCCUGGACUUCCAGGCCUGUUUCCCACAACUGCCUGUCUCAGCCAGCAGCCUGACUCAACUCUGAGCCCCGUGGUGGAUGAGCUCCCCUUGCUGUCCUUCCCCUCCUCGAACGCAGAGCUCUUCCCAUCCCGACGGGGGGGAGAGAGCGGCACGGGAGGAAUCCGGCACGAGCAGGCUGAUGGCUGCCGUCCCAGUGCAGGCUCAGCAAAUGGGGCUUGUGAUGGAUGAAUGUGCAGGGCAAGAAGUAAUAAAAUGGGCCCCAGUCAUGUAAUCUUCCAUUAAAAUGAAAUGCAUACCAGAAAUGAGGCAUUUCUGCAGCUUGUACCAUCUCCCACGGAAGAUCAUGAAUAAAAGAGGCAAGUGUACUGUUGACAGAUGCCGGCAUGCAUAAAGGACAGUUCCUAUAAAGGCAAAGCCCCGGCUAACAGAUGGACUAAAGAUGUGAGAUGCAGGAAGAUUUACCAGUCUAAAUAAUUCAAGGGAAUGUCGUAUGGGGAGGCAGUGCUGGAGAGGGGAGCCGGCAGAAGGUACAGAUGGAAAGGCAGGCCAGGCCUUUCCCACAAACCCAUUAAGAACGUCGCUUGUCUGAGUGACAGUAUGUCGCACAAGGCACCAGCAGAGAUGGGUGGAUUUGCCUCCAGCGCUCCUUCUGCAAGGUCAGGAGAAGAGGGACCUGUGAUUCGCCAGUGAGGAUCCCAGGGAGUGGCUGCUCAUGAGAACCCACCUGCAGCUCGAAAGGUGCACACCUUGCAGGUGACCUGGAGACCUUCAUCUUCUGCAUCCUGUCUCCAGU